GACGAACGCUGGCGGCGUGCCUAAUACAUGCAAGUUGAGCGAUGAAGAUUGGUGCUUGCACCAAUUUGAAGAGCAGCGAACGGGUGAGUAACGCGUGGGGAAUCUGCCUUUGAGCGGGGGACAACAUUUGGAAACGAAUGCUAAUACCGCAUAACAACUUUAAACAUAAGUUUUAAGUUUGAAAGAUGCAAUUGCAUCACUCAAAGAUGAUCCCGCGUUGUAUUAGCUAGUUGGUGAGGUAAAGGCUCACCAAGGCGAUGAUACAUAGCCGACCUGAGAGGGUGAUCCGCCACAUUGGGACUGAGACACGGCCCAAACUCCUACGGGAGGCAGCAGUAGGGAAUCUUCGGCAAUGGACGAAAGUCUGACCGAGCAACGCCGCGUGAGUGAAGGAGGUUUUCGGAUCGUAAAACUCUGUUGGUAGAGAAGAACGUUGGUGAGAGUGGAAAGCUCAUCAAGUGACGGUAACUACACAGAAAGGGACGGCUAACUACGUG
rnacentral:rRNA from 1 species